GUGUGGUUCUUUCUCCCAUGUCUCAGCACAGAGAAAAGGUGGGGGCACCCAAGAAGGUGCUGUCUGAGCUGGAAUCACAGGCACAGCUGCCCUGACCACAGAUCACCUCCCACCUGAUCUCCAGUCACUGAGGCUCCCGAUGGUCACCAUUGUCAUGUUUUCCCAAUCAGGUCUUCUUCCUACUCUCUGAAAACUAAGUUAACCUGUAAUCGUACCAAACUAAACAGGUUCUCGUGGAAAUGGACCAGCUUCAGCAGCAGUAAAGCUAAACACAUUUCAACCAUGGAGUACCACGUGGAGAGCGGCUAACACCAGGAGAACCACUGACGAGAAAGGACGAUGCUGCAUGUCGCACAGCUGCAGCAGGUGGCAUAGAGGAAGGCAGUGGGGGAUGAAGUCAGCUGAGCCAUCUGUGUGUUCCCUGCACUAAACCAGUGCCAGACACAUAAAGACAUUCAGUCCAAGUACACACCCCAGCAGCCCUCCGACAACCAUGCACAGGGAGUCAACCCACCCAGCAGGCACUUCAGCUCGGCUUGUCAAGAUGUCCCUCAGCUGCACUGCAAUGGGUGGUCUGGAGGGGUGGGGUAAAAAGGCUCUAGCCCAUUUGGAAAAGAGCAGAGAGAAAACCCCUGAACCGGCAGUGACAGCGGAUGGAGAAAUCAAAAGCUCCUACAAAAGCAGAUUGGAAAGGGCUUAAUGAAGGAAAGGGAGCAGGAAGGGCUGAUGAGGGUCCCAGUUUUCUGAUUGGGUUAACUGUGUGAAUGGCGAAAGAUGUAAAUAUGCUGGAGGCUUGGGACAGUGGAGAUGUUGAAUUUGUUUGGGGACCUGUUAGGUCUGAGGCCCCAGGGGACCUCUACUGUAGAAACAUCUACAAGGUUUCACGCUGUCCUUUGUUGCUGUUCCAAAUGCAUCAAUAAGGCUCAAGACCUCGUUGUAAACACCAGAAGUCUGACACCAUCAUCUUCAAGCACAUCAACAACGUACAAGAGUCCAUGGCCUUCCUUCACCCACCCACCAGGCUAUUUUCAAACCUGUGCUGCCUGGAUCCCAGGGAGAACUUGUGCUUCCCUUCCUAGACUGGAGACUCAUGACCCUUAAUCAUCAGAGGUCACACAGGACAGGGUUGGCUAGAAUAAAUAAUGGGGUACCUCAUUUGGCCCCUCAAAAUAGAAACGUUUCUCAGUGUGAUAUAGGUUUUGCAUCAGGGAGUCACUCAGAUAAUCUGAACCAGAAUGUGUAAAAAUGAGUUCAAACAUAGACAAGGUUCCAGGCCUUCAAGGUUGGUGAGAACCCACAAACAGAAGGUUACGAGGGGAAAGGAUGGCUGUUACUGCUGUGGACGGAAAUAAAGCAGCAAAGUCAGGCAAACUUGGCAGAGCAGAAGGUUCUGGGUGUAGAAAAGCAAAAGACUGGGAGUCGGGGCUUCCCCGCCCACCUCGCAGGUCAGGCUGAGCUCUUCCGGCCUCAGAAUGAGGGUGUCUGGUUUGUUCCUGCUUGGCCGCCCUUGCUCUGCAUGACCUUGGAGGCAAUCCAGAAUGACACCUACGUCUAGACAACCCACUGUAAGCGACAGAUCAGAUCUCAAUGACCCAGGCCCGCACGGCAGAGGCCGUCUGUGCCUCUAAGCUCUGCCCAUUCUGAGGACCAUGCAGGAAACCACAAUGAAAGUGAGCCUUUUGGCUUGCUAACACCAGCUGACACGUUUCCCAGAUUCUGAAGGUCAAUCCAGCUGAAAUUUGAGCAUCCAAGAUUUCGGGUGUUGAGUUUUAAAAGGCUGAAUAUAAGAUGACUCAUAUGCCAACUGAAUCAGCUCUCAACACUGUGAUU